CGCGUAGGCGGUUUUGUAAGUUCCGCGUGAAAUCCCCCGGCUCAACCGGGGAAUGGCGUGGAAAACUGCGAGGCUUGAGUUCGGGAGAGGGAAGCGGAAUUCCGGGUGUAGCGGUGAAAUGCGUAGAUAUCCGGAGGAACACCGGUGGCGAAGGCGGCUUCCUGGACCGACACUGACGCUGGGGCGCGAAAGCUAGGGGAGCAAACG
rnacentral:rRNA from 1 species